UUGGAACACAAUUUUGAGUUACAAUUCAUCAAGCAUAUUCCUAUCCAAACACUGAAGGGUAACGUAAUCAUAAGGAAAGGAGGACUUGUGGCACCUUAGAGACUAACAAAUUUAUUUGAGCAUAAGCUUUCGUGAGCUACAAUGUUAGUCUGUAAGGUGCCACAAGUCCUCCUUUUCUGUUUGCAGAUACAGACUAACACGGUUGCUACUCUGAAAUGUUUCAGAGUAACAGCCGUGUUAGUCUGUAUUCGCAAAAAGAAAAGGAAUACAAGGUGCCACAAGUAUUCCUUACUCUGAAACGUAAUCAUAAGGAGUCACCUUAUGGGUCAGGUGGUAACUCUUUCCAAGACCAGAAAGUUCUGGCAUUAACCACAACUGACACUUUGGGUCACACCCUAGGACACGGAUGUCCAACUUGUGGCCUCCAAGGGCAGCUGUGUGAAAGGAGAAGGCCUGUGUUCCACAACUGUUCAACUUUUUGAACCAACCCCAUUGGUCCGCCAAAGAGUGGUGAUGCAGGGCCUUUGGUGAUGGAGCAGAUGAUGGAAUGGUGGCAUGAAGAACAACAGCAGAUGGAGGAACGAGCAAGUUCCCAACCCCCCGAACCCAUCGGGGUGGGAGAUGAAUUCAUGUGAAAGCAUCUCUGUACUCUGGGUCUCCAUUGACCAAGGACAACAACUUUGCAGGUCAAAGUGAAGAUAAAAAGACCAAAAAAAUUUCUUUCCACUGAAAGGCAUCAGAAACGAACCAAUAUGAAGAACACACCAAGAAUAUACCAACACGUCAGCUGACUGUUCAAGUGCUGUAUCUACAUCUGAACAGCCCAAAGCACAAAUAGUGCUAUCUACUGAAGAAACAGUGUGUACACAACCUGAAGACAGUUCCCGAUGUUUGUCAGUCAAAGUUUUCCCAUUUAUUGAAGUUACAGAAGAUGGUUACUGGUGCACCUCUUGCAAAAAAGCUUAUGAAGAAGAAAAGCUUCCCACUGCUACAACUGGUAAAACUGGAGGAGCUUGGUUUGCCAGACCAAUCACCAAAUUAAUGCUGACAAACUACAUGAAAAGGAUACAAAAUACCAAGCCUCUGGACUGCAUCAACAUGCAGAAAGCCCUAUAAGCCAGUCUCUGUCAAAGCCAAUCUUAAAAGUACUUAAUGAGGCUGUUAAGAAUGCUGGAGACACAACAUAGUUUAUGCAAACAAACAUGGCUGUCAAAUCAUUCUUUCUGUUUAAGCAAGAGAUAUGACACACUACAAACUGGAGCCAGGGCCGUCCUUACCCAUACGCAAAGCACGCAGCUGCGUAGGGCACCACCAAAUUUCCUAGUGCCCUGUGCAGCUGCAUGCUGCUCCAGCCCCUGCUCUGGCUCUUCCCCAGACCCACUCCCACUCCCCUUUAGAUUGCAGCCAGGCCUGAUCCUGCACUCACUGCAUGGUAAGUGGAGCGACCUGGCCCCAGCCUGCUCCGCUCCCCUGGCUCCCAGCCAUGCUGCUGGCGACUGCCGGCGGUUACCCCCUCCCCACAAGCCUGGGAGCCAGGGGAGCAGAGCAGCCUGGGGCCCAAGGCCUCCGCAGGUGGGAGCGGGGGGAUCUGGCCCCAGACCUCCGCGGGGUCACUGUGUGGAGCCCCAGGCCUCUGCGGGGAUGAACACUUCCUGCAGGAAGUGGAGUGACCCAGCCCAAGCGUGCUCCGCUUCCCUGGCUCCCAGGCUUGGGGGGAGGGGGGAACCGCCCGGCGCAGCUGGGAGCCAGGGGAGCAGAGCAGGCUGGGGCCGGGUCACUCCACUUCCCGCAGGAAGUGGCCAGCCCCCGUUCCCCACGGAGGCCUGGGGCCAGCCCCCCCAUGGAGGCCUGGGGUGGGGCACCACACAGCCCCCCCCAGAAGGGGGCUGCAUAGGGCAUCAAAAUAGCUAGGACGGCCCUGACUGGAGGCCAAUGUUAAAUGCAUUGUCACUUGUUAAUCAUGAAGUUAGACACUGGUUCUGAUCAAGACUGGAAAAUGCUCACUAUCUUUCUACAAGAAACUCAACUGACUGGUUAGAAGCACACGGUGCAACAGUGAAAGACUCAGCAGUUGAAAAAACAAAGAACUUUCUCACUGCAUUCAGAAAAUGUGCAUACAUGACUUAUGAAUGCACCAAUGCAAAUAGGCAUCAAGUAUCAAGUCAUUGUGUACGUUAUCUUGAUGUCAGUGGUAGGCCAGUAGAUACAGUCUAGAUGUUCAGGUUAUAAAAGACACAUAAGCUGUAUCUGUGAUAUAUUAAAAGAGUUAAAUGCUUGUAAAUUGAACCCCAAAGAGAUGGCUCGUUGUGCAUUUGAUGGACCUACAACUUCUCUGGAAGACAUAGUGGAGUACAAGUUUUGCUCAGAGAAAAGUGUAACCCUAAUCUUUCCUAUGCACACUGCAGAGGCCAUCUACUUCAGCUAGUGCUAGUACGAGCUGCAGAAUAUUCAAGAGACAUUUAAAAAAAGCCAUAAAUUUAAUGUCUUCGUACUCUUUCUCCCCGGUCAUGUGACUGAACUAAUGAGCAUAUCAAUUGAAGGACUGGAAGUACUGUACAUAUGAGAAGCCACCAAAGAUGAAUGCACUGCAUUGAGAAGUUCAUUAACAGAGUUGUGCAAAAUCACAACAAGAGGCCAAGAAGGAUGUCGAUCUAGGGCUUCAUACAAGGCUUGAAUAGCCAACUUUAAUUUAUGUGAUGAUUUUAAACCAUGAGUGUUCUGUCAAACCUUUUUUUCCAGUUUUUUUUCCCCAUACAGCCCACCUUCACCCUCACAGUUUCAUCCUGGGCCCUCACCCCCCUGUAAAUUCGAACAGUCUUCCCCCCCCCCCCUUUAAAUACAUGGACAACACUGGACCCAGGACAUGCUGGGGCUUUGACUCUGCAGUGAUAGAUGUGCAAUAGGCUUCUGUGCCUAACUGAUGCUCUAGUGACUUCAGUGGGGCACCACGCUGCCACGGGAGACAUGCCCUGGGUUUGAAUCAGGGUCAUGUAGCCAAGGAGGCUGGUUGUCUGUAGGAUUCUUGCCUCAUUUGUUGCAGUAGUUGGAAGGUGUGUAGUGAGUGAGAUGGGAUCACAGGAAGAGAAGGAGGGUCUCAUGGUUAAGGCAAUUCAAUACUGCCCUGGAGAACUGGAUUCUAUCCCUAUCUGUAUCACAGAGUUGCUGUGUGAUGAAGGGUAAGUCACUUACACCAAACCUUUCAUAGGUGGCCACUAAUUGUGUGUUCCAGAUCUGAAAAAGUGUUGAUCGCUCUCAGCUGCAAUUAAGAUCUGUGGGAGCUGUGCUUUGAACAUUUAAAUGCUGCAUAAUGCUGAGUGCUCUGACAAGUCAGGCCCUCAAAACAAACACCCCAAAUUAGUGGACAUUUUAUGUUAAUCUCUGUGUCUCAGAAUAACAAUAUCACUUCACAGAGGUGCUGUGAAAAUAAAUUAUUGAUGUUCAUGAAGGCCUGAUACACCACAGUGAUGGGCACCAUAGAAAUUUCUAGGAGGAAGUUAAUAAUUCUGUCUUCACAGCAGCAUUUGAACAGAGUGCAGUAAACGUGGCCUGGGGCCACCCAUUGAGCAAUGAAGAUAAAACAAAAUAUUGAAUCACAGCUCGUUCAGUGAGCCCCAUCCAUCCUGGGCACUGAAUAAGGAAGGAGUCCUGUGGAAAAAAUAGUUCAUGAUCAUGUAACUAAUAAUUGUAUCCGAUGAAGUGAGCUGUAGCUCACGAAAGCUCAUGCUCAAAUAAAUUGGUUAGUCUCUAAGGUGCCACAAGUACUCCUUUUCUUUUUUGCGAACCACAGGACAAUGGCUCAAGAAAGGGGUGAUAAUGAGCAUAGGGCAGGAAGGAUGGCUUAAUGAGCUGACUUUUGAGGAGUGCUACAAAUCAGAGGGUGCUUGGGGUAUGAGAAUAGGUGUUCCAAGUGUAAGGGGCAACAUGGAAGGAAGCACAAGGGAAAAGAAGGUUGUGAUUGGGGGCAGGGGUAUGUUAGAAAAAAGUAGUACUUUUGCAUUUAAUCUAAAUCAAGAGUCCUUCGCUGCUGUUACGUGAGUGUGG